AUGCAGCGGUGCCACGGAAAGGACAAGGCGGCUACCAGCGCGACGCCGCACCACGCAAAGGGCAAGGCGGCCGCGAGUGCGAUGCCGUACCACGCAAAGGAUAAGGCUGCUACUUGCAGCGCGAUGGGGCCGAAGCAUGUCCUCGCAGACGAGAACAUCGUGCAGGAGCACUUAGCACCUCCGGAUCGAAUUCGACAGAGGGGUUUGGAUAGUGCAAAGGAGGGAUCAUCAUCGCUGGUUAUGGGCUUCCGUAGAGAGAUGUCGCAAAAGCGAGGGGAGAAGGUGGAUACAACCUCAAUUCAUCAGAAGCAUAAUGCAAAGGAGAAGACUUGCCCCCCUGAUCUGCUCCGCCGGCAGACGCAGGGUAUCCAGCGGCCUGUCAAGAGUCUUGCCGGAGAGAUGUCGCUGAAGCAAAGGGAGAAGGUGGGUACAGGCCUGAUUCCACAGGCGCAUAAUGCAAAGGAGAAGACAUGCCCCCCUGAUCAACUCCGCAGGCAGACGCAGGGUAUCCAGCGGCCUGUCAAGACUGAAGCACGACUUGCUGGAGAGAAGAAGCACAAAACUGAAGCACAUCUCGCCGGAGAGAAAAAGCACACGAAAGGCAAUGCGUCUUUUCCAGCGAAAAGAACCACUACACUACUCAAAGCAAGAACGAGUUCCCACUGUUCCGAUGAAUGUACCAGUCGUCCCAUCGAUACUAACGACCAUGGCAACACUGUUGCCACCCCGGAACAGAGGGAAGAAUCUGCCGCAAUCAAGAUAGAUAAAGAAGUGGAGUACAUAACCCAAAAGUUGAACAAGUUGGGAGUGCGAGAUGAUAUUGGCUUUGAGGAGUACUAUAAAUGCUUGAUGAAUCUGCCUUCCGACCCCUCCGUUGAUACUUCCAUCAGAUUGGAUGAUACAGAUCUUUAUGACAUGGACAUCCGCCACGCGGUGUAUCGCAUCAGAUCCUACAAGUUGUCACAAAAGGAGUCUAAGAAUGAGUUGUGCCAUGAUAAACUGAAAGAUUGCCCUGUGGAGCUUCUUGACAGGGACGAAUUUCCUACAGAUUUCCUCGUGAAGAUGCAAUAUUUUAGGUUCUUGGAGGAAGGUGUAUUAGACUGGUUCUUCCACCCUGAACUCUGCAAGCUUGCUUGCCUGAAUGACUACCAGCGUCUAGUGCCUCGGGAUCAUGUACGUAUAUAA
rnacentral:rRNA from 1 species